rnacentral:misc_RNA from 1 species
GGAACUUUUAUCUUGGAGUGGGAUGAAGGGAAACAUAUUGCCAAUAAAUUAUUGUCAUCAAAGAACUCAGCUCAGAUGUAUGCAGAGAGGUUAAGUGAGCUUGCUGCUGCUUUAGGCUUUGAUGGAUGGCUGGUCAAUAUGGAAGUUUCCCUGGAUGUCGGGCAAAUUCCUAACCUGAAAGAAUUUGUCAGCCACUUAACUCAGUCCAUGCAUUCCCUUGUCCCUGGAUCUUUGGUCAUAUGGUAUGAUAGCGUCACAAUUGAUGGGAAACUUAGUUGGCAAGAUCAACUAAACGAAAAAAACAAGCCCUUUUUUGAUAUAUCUGAUGGUAUAUUUGUAAACUACACUUGGCGGGAGAAUUACCCUAAGCUCUCAGCUGAGGUUGCUGUUGACAGGAAGUUCGAUGUUUACAUGGGAAUUGAUGUCUUUGGAAGAAACACUUAUGGUGGUGGACAAUGGACGACAAAUUUGGCACUUGAUGUGAUUAAGAGGGAUAAUGUGUCAGCUGCCAUAUUUGCUCCUGGAUGGGUGUAUGAGACAAAACAACUACCUGACUUUCAAACUGCACAGAACCGUUGGUGGGCACUUGUAGAAAAAUCAUGGGAUAUCUCACAAAAUUACCCCCAAAUUCUUCCGUUCUACUCUAAUUUUGAUCAGGGUCAUGGUUACCAGUUUACAGUCGAUGGAAAGCAAAUGUCACAGACUCCUUGGAACAACAUUUCGUCCCAAAGCUUUCAGCCUUUCCUGAGGUUUUCUGGAGAAUCAACUGGAGGGAAUCUAAAAGUUGCUGUUGAUAUCAAGGAGCCAUCUUAUAAUGGAGGAGGGAACCUAACAUUCAAUGGAACACUUGAGGGUGAUUUUCAAUUCUCAGCAAGGUUGUUUGAAGGGAAGCUUCUGUUAGCAGAUUCACCUGUUCAUUUUACAUAUUCUGUAAAAUCAAAUGGAAGCUCUCUGUUGGGCUUAUCUCUUGAGUUCACUUCUGCUGCCACGGAGCAAAAAUCAGUAUUACUUGCUUCUUCGGGUGAUUCUUUGCUGACUAUGAGUCGUUUUGUUAGACAUUUUGACAAUGUUAUAAUGCCUCAUCGUGUUACUAAAUUAGAGAGUGAAUCAUCAUGGGUCAUACAAGAAAGUAGUAUAUCAAUGGAAGGAUAUACAUUAACAAAAAUCCAUGCUGUAUGCUAUAAAUUAAGACCUGAA